rnacentral:rRNA from 1 species
UACGUAGGGGGCUAGCGUUGUCCGGAAUUAUUGGGCGUAAAGCGCGUGUAGGCGGCUUUGCAAGUCGGGUGUGAAAGCCCUCAGCUCAACUGAGGAAGUGCGCCCGAAACUGCAGAGCUUGAGUACCGGAGAGGAUGGCGGAAUUCCCCAAGUAGAGGUGAAAUUCGUAGAUAUGGGGAGGAACACCGGUGGCGAAGGCGGCCAUCUGGACGGAUACUGACGCUGAGACGCGAAAGCGUGGGGAGCAAACAGG